rnacentral:rRNA from 1 species
AACGCUGGCGGCGUGCCUGACACAUGCAAGUCGUACGGUCCGUGAUUGAUCAAGCUUGCUUGAUUGGUCGUGGAUAGUGGCGGACGGGUGAGUAACGCGUGAACACCUACCCAUUGGAGGGGUACAACCCGUCGAAAGGCGGGCUAAUACCGCGUAAGCCGCGAGGUGAAAGGCUGCCUUUUGGUGGCUGCCGAUGGAUGGGUUCGCGUCCUAUCAGCUUGUUGGUGGGGUAAUGGCCUACCAAGGCGAAGACGGGUAGCCGGUCUGAGAGGAUGGCCGGCCACACUGGAACUGAGACACGGUCCAGACUCCUACGGGAGGCAGCAGUGGGGAAUCUUGGGCAAUGGGGGGGACCCUGACCCAGCGACGCCGCGUGAGGGACGAAGGUUUUCGGAUCGUAAACCUCUGUUGUACGGGAAGAAGGAUGUGACGGUACCGUACGAGUAAGCCCCGGCAAACUACGUG